rnacentral:rRNA from 1 species
CCUACGGGUGGCAGCAGUCGAGAAUCAUUCACAAUGGGGGAAACCCUGAUGGUGCGACGCCGCGUGGGGGAAUGAAGGUCUUCGGAUUGUAAACUCCUGUCAUGUGGGAGCAAAUUAAAAAGAUAGUACCACAAGAGGAAGCUACGGCUAACUCUGUGGCAGCAGCCGCGGUAAUACAGAGGUCUCAAGCGUUGUUCGGAAUCACUGGGUGUAAAGCGUGCGUAGGCUGUUUCGUAAGUCGUAAGUGAAAGGCUCGGGCUUAACCCGCGGACGGCACCUGAUACUGCGGGACUAGAGUAAUGGAGGGGGAAGCGGAAUUCCCGGUGUAGCAGUGAAAUGCGUAGAUAUCGAGAGGAACACUAGUGGCGAAGGCGGGUUACUGGACAUUAACUGACGCUGAGGCACGAAGGCCAGGGGAGCGAAAGGGAUUAGAUACCCCAGUAGUC